GCUCGUAGUUGGAUUUCGGGUGGGGCCUGCCGGUCCGCCGUUUCGGUGUGCACUGGCAGGGCCCACCUUGUUGCCGGGGACGGGCUCCUGGGCUUCACUGUCCGGGACUCGGAGUCGGCGCUGUUACUUUGAGUAAAUUAGAGUGUUCAAAGCAGGCCUACGCUCUGAAUACAUUAGCAUGGAAUAACACGAUAGGACUCUGGCCUAUCCUGUUGGUCUGUAGGACCGGAGUAAUGAUUAAGAGGGACAGUCGGGGGCAUUCGUAUUUCAUUGUCAAAGGUGAAAUUCUUGGAUUUAUGAAAGACGAACUACU
rnacentral:rRNA from 2 species